GGUCUCGUAGCUCAGCUGGUAGAGCGUGCGUUGUACAUACACGUGGGUUCAAAUUCCACCGAGGCUA
rnacentral:tRNA from 1 species